UACGGGGGGGGCAAGCGUUGUUCGGAAUUACUGGGCGUAAAGGGCUUGUAGGUGGCCAACUAAGUCGGACGUGAAAUCCCUCGGCUUAACCGGGGAACUGCGUCUGAUACUGGAUGGCUAGAGUUUGGGAGAGGGAUGCGGAAUUCCAGGUGUAGCGGUGAAAUGCGUAGAUAUCUGGAGGAACACCGGUGGCGAAGGCGGCAUCCUGGACCAACACUGACACUGAAAAGCGAAAGCCAGGGGAGCAAACGGGG
rnacentral:rRNA from 1 species